UCGGGAAUAUUGCACAAUGGAGGAAACUCUGAUGCAGUGACGCCGCGUGCAGGAAGAAGGUUUUCGGAUUGUAAACUGCUUUAGAUGGGGAAGAAAAAAGACUGUACCCAUAGAAUAAGCUCCGGCUAACUACGUGCCAGCAGCCGCGGUAAUACGUAGGGAGCAAGCGUUGUCCGGAUUUAUUGGGUGUAAAGGGUGCGUAGACGGGUUAAUAAGUUAGUUGUGAAAUCCCUCGGCUCAACUGAGGAACUGCAACUAAAACUGUUAAUCUUGAGUGCGGGAGAGGAAAGUGGAAUUCCUAGUGUAGCGGUGAAAUGCGUAGAUAUUAGGAGGAACACCAGUGGCGAAGGCGACUUUCUGGACCGUAACUGACGUUGAGGCACGAAAGUGUGGGGAGCAAACAGG
rnacentral:rRNA from 1 species